rnacentral:lncRNA from 1 species
CAGAAAAGCAGAUUGUAUAUUCCGCAACUAAACUGUUUGUGCAUUCUGGUGUGGACAGUUGGCGGCUUGCUGCAGAUUUCAGACAGACCGGUUAGAUUCGCGGCCAAGCCGAUCCUGGCAGAGUCGAAUCGCCGGCGGUGCUUCCCUGAAUUACGAAUAAACCACGCACAAGGUUGGGCUGCGCAUUGAAGCCUGCAACCGUGACCUAGUUGCCCAGUCUGCAAGCAAGCAUUUUUUUGUGCACA